CCUAUUGCUGCAUACCAUUGUAAAUCGAGGGAUUUGUAUACAUUUCAACAUAACCAAAAUAAGUGCUCCUUUUACAAUUUGUAUUCUUCCUCAGUUUACAUCUCACAAUAGGAAGGUGCUCCUUUUACAUAAACAUGACAACAAUAUUAAAAUUACAUAAACAUGAUAAACAUAACCAAAAUAAGAUUCUUGUUUUUACAACAAAUAUAAUUUGUGACAUAUUCACGGCUGAUUACAUAAACAUGGAGUUUGACAAAUACAACGAACUUUUUUCAUUGUCACAUAGUUGGAACAAAUUCACGAAACUUUUCCCUUCUCUUUCCCAUUAUACUCCAUAGCUGCUUUUCCCGUGCGAAUAGUUAUGUUCAUAGAUAUCUCCGCUUGCCUUUCUUCUAGUAUUUGAGCAGCUCUAUUCAACAUACAAACAAAACUUCAAUCAGAUCUUUGGCCUUACAUUCCAUGUCUGAAUUUUGGCCAAUGGCCAAGAUUAGUAAUCAAAAUUUCAUCCUUUAAAUAUAUACGCUCUCCGCCGGUUAUUAUAUUUGAGGAAAUUAAGCAAAAGGCCAAGAUUAACAAUUAAAACUUCAUCACUUCAAUCUCAUAUUCUAUAAUGCAUAACUACAGUUUAAAGUUGCUCAUUAGCAUCAAUUGAUAAUGAAAAACUAUGGAUGCUAUCGGGAAUUUGGGAUUAUCAAUUGCAUCUAUAAUACACAACUAAAGAAACAAAGAUAUCAAUUGUAUCUACAAUAGCCUUCAAUCUAGGAUUACAUUCACCGUGCGGAAAUGGUCGAGUCGACUGAUUUUCUCCUUCAUGUUUCUGAAGGUUUGGGUUAUGAACAAAUGAGGAUUACGGAGGAAUGGGAGAUUAGGGAUUAGAAAUCAUCUGAUGUGGGGUUUUCGAAAUCGUAAGGGAAGCAAUUUGGGCAAAUCGAAAUCUAGGGUUCUUUCUACUGGAUUGGGUGGGAACUCAAUUGGGGAAUCCGGCUUCGCUUUAUUCAGGUUUUGAUUUUCAACGUGAAUGAAAGCAUUUUUCCAAAUACACGAGUCUAACGUGGCAAGCAAAAUGACGUCGUUUGUUGCCAAAUAGGAUGCUGUCGUACCACAUCAACUGCCAUUCAAAUGGGAUCUUAGUAAGUGAUGGAG
rnacentral:lncRNA from 1 species